GCGGUGCCCAACCUGCACCCCAUGCCGAACUCAGAAGUGAAACGCCGUAGCGCCGAUGGUAGUGUGGGGUCUCCCCAUGCGAGAGUAGGG
rnacentral:rRNA from 1 species